rnacentral:rRNA from 1 species
UACGGAGGAUCCAAGCGUUAUCCGGAUUCAUUGGGUUUAAAGGGUGCGUAGGCGGACCUGUAAGUCAGUGGUGAAAUCCUGCAGCUUAACUGCAGAACUGCCAUUGAUACUGCAAGUCUUGAAUACAGUUGAUGUGGAUGGAAUGUGUCAUGUAGCGGUGAAAUGCAUAGAUAUGACACAGAACACCGAUCGCGAAAGCAGUUCACAAAACUGGUAUUGACGCUGAGGCACGAAAGCGUGGGGAUCAAACAGG